rnacentral:rRNA from 1 species
AUUGAACGCUGGCGGCAGGCCUAACACAUGCAAGUCGAACGAGUGGCGGACGGGUGAGUAAUGUCUGGGAAACUGCCUGAUGGAGGGGGAUAACUACUGGAACCGGUAGCUAAUACCGCAUACCAUCAGAUGUGCCCAGAUGGGAUUAGCUUGUUGGUGGGGUAACGGCUCACCAAGGCGUCGAUCCCUAGCUGGUCUGAGAGGAUGACCGGCCACACUGGGACUGAGACACGGUCCAGACUCCUACGGGAGGCAGCAGUGGGGAAUCUUGGACAAUGGGCGCAAGUCUGACCCAGCAAUGCCGCGUGUGUGAAGAAGGCCUUCGGGUUGUAAAGUACUUUCGGCGGGGAGGCGUUACCCGACGAGGAAGCACCGGCUAACUCCGUGCCAGCAGCCGCGGUAAUAC